GAGCUGUAAAGAUGUCCUGUGCAGUCGAUUUAUCAAUAAACACAUGCUCAAUCAUCAUCAAGAGACUGGGCAUUGUUUAGCUCUCAGUUUCAGUGAUUUAUCAGUAUGGUGCUUCUCAUGCAAUUCCUAUCUAGAUGUUCAGGCAAUUUGGCAGCUUCGCCCUGCUUAUGAAAUUGCCCAUCUCUUAAAAUUUGGACAACGCCCUGCUUUUCGGACCAUAGAGCCCCCCCCAAAAAAAAGUCUGGCCUCCGCUUCUAGUUCUUAAUAUUUCUCUAUGUGAAUUUGCUACUUCUUCUGAGCUGAAAAUAAGAUAUAUUUAUAUGGAUAAAUGUGCUCUUGCCUGGUUAUGACUUUUUAUGUCUUAAUAUCUGGUAUAAUCCUUUGUUUCAUUUUAUUUA